GCGCCGUUGCCGGGGAACGGUAGCUGUGCUAGUUUCGAACCAAGUCGUCCAUGUAUCCUUUUUUCUUUUCCUUUUUUUACCACACUCACCUUACCAUUUUCACCAUACCACAUGGAUUUCACUCCAAACAUUGAUGAACAUGGAAUUUAUUUCAUAGUCACUUCGUUUACUCCAUGCUCAUAUGCAACAUUUUCCCAAUCUUUUGGUCUCUCCAACAUCACCACAUUCGAGAUCUCCAACCCCCUCUUCCUUUCUAUUUAUAUAAACUUUAAAAGGGCGGUUGUCGAUGCAUAUGUCUAUAAUAAAUAUUGCAGAUCUCGUUGAGUUGAUCUUGAUAUAGGUCAGUGUUGGAGGGGAAACCACUUCGUCGACAUAAUUUGAUGGUUUCCCAAGGACAAGCUUAGUGUCCUAAAAUAAGCACU
rnacentral:lncRNA from 1 species